GGCAUAUUCAUGUUCUGCUGAUAGGAAGGUGUAUUGAAGUCGAAUGCCUGAAGGACUGGAUAAAUUAAGGCCUGCAGUUUCGGUCUGAUGGUCAAGUGUUCAUCUUUGCUGAGCUGUGGGAAAAAUACAGGGAUGGCCAUUCAGGCAUACUCAGUAUUCUGUCUCCAAUAGAAAUCAGUGGCAGAAGUUUAUUGAAGGGGUUGGUAUACGACCUUGUGAUGAUGCAGCACAAAGACUCUGCCAACCUAUAUGCAUCACGGAAUUAGGGGCUGUUGCAGUGCAACAGGUGCUGGAUGUUACCUGCUGACAUACAGCAGCUGCCAAAUUUCC